rnacentral:rRNA from 1 species
ACGGAAGGCAGCAGUAGGGAAUCUUCGGCAAUGGGGGCAAUCCUGACCGAGCAACGCCGCGUGAGUGAAGAAGGUUUUCGGAUCGUAAAGCUCUGUUGUAAGAGAAGAACGUGUGUGAGAGUGGAAAGUUCACACAGUGACGGUAACUUCCCAGAAAGGGACGGCUACCUCCGUCCCAGCAGCCGCGGUAAUACGUAGGUCCCGAGCGUUGUCCGGAUUUAUUGGGCGUAAAGCGAGCGCAGGCGGUUUAAUAAGUCUGAAGUUAAAGGCAGUGGCUUAACCAGUGUUCGCUUUGGAAACUGUUAGACUUGAGUGCAGAAGGGGAGAGUGGAAUUCCAUGUGUAGCGGUGAAAUGCGUAGAUAUAUGGAGGAACACCGGUGGCGAAAGCGGCUUUCUGGUCUGUAACUGACGCUGAGGCUCGAAAGCGUGGGGAGCAAACAGGAUUAGAUACCCUGGUA